AUGCAUCCUUCCGUGUAUGUAAUUUGCAUGCCGUUACAGGUCAUGUGAUAUGCGCAUACAUACAUAUGGACAUGCAGACGGCACGUGGACAUCUUUGAAUCUGUAAGGUUGCAAUCGUAAAGGAAUAAAAAUACAUAAGGAUUCAAUCUUUGAACAAAGUUGCUUAUGUACUUGUGGUCAAGCAAACUUAUCUGGUGACCGUCAACUUGACAUUGAACGAACUUUCUACAUACAUAUGGACAUGGUGGCGAAUCUCGCAUCUGCUCGAUGCGAAAAACAAGCCAACACAGAUUGCACAUGUCCUGGGAUAAAGUUUGAUUAAGUUUGUAUCAAAAAGUUUUUUUACGGCGUCGAUCGAGUAAGUUAAAAUAUUAACAACGAGAUAUGUACUCAAUCGUUGGUUGGAUCAAUUUAUGCUGAAGCGAGGAUAAAGUAACAUUAUUUGAAUCUGUAACUUGCACAUGCAUAAACCUAUUUUACGUAUCAUUAAAUAUUGAUAUGUAAAUAGUUAUAUAUGUAUAUGUAACACAUCGCCAUUUCGCAAAAUAUAAAAGUGGAUAAAAUCAUUGCACUCUUAAAAUACUCGUCACUUCAAGACUUGCCCAAAUCCAAGAACUUUGUAGUUUUCCCUGUCAUCCCGUUACACACUAAAUUGUUGAAAAUUUUUUCAGGAUGAGGAUUCUUUUCGCCGUGAUUUUGAUUUUAGGAGUGAUCGCCCUUUCUCGGGUAGAAAAUGCAGCCGGUGGAUUCAUUGGAAACCCUAACGCCCAGAUCGCCUGUAUCUGCACGGCACAAAGGUGUACCGGCAAUGAGUCAGAGUUCGAGUGUGGUGGUGGUCGAACCUGUAAAUUUCUUGCUGCCUGCGGUUGGAGGUGUCAAGGGGGAUUUUUAGACGUUUGCGUCGCCGUUUAAUGUCUCCUACAUCAUUUCAUUACCGACCCUGGAGUGAAUUGAGAUGUGAGUUUGAUGAAAAACUAAUUAGCCCGUGUAACGUUAAAACUAAAUCAUGUGAAUUAAAUCAAAAUUAAAUUAUUAAAAUAGUUAAUAAUUUUUAUUAAGGUAUUUAUUAAGUAAGUACUUAAAAUUAUGAUAAAGACAUAUAUAUGUUCACAAAUAAAUCUUUGGGAAGUAAAUAAAACUAGAUUAUUUCAUA